AUAUUGCACAAUUGGCGAAAGCCUGAUCCAGCCAUUCCUCGUUAGUGAUGAAGGCCCUAUGGUCGUAAAGCUCUUUCAACGGUGAAGAUAAAGACGGUGACCCUAGAAGAAGCCCCGGCUAACUUCGUUCCAUCAGCCGCGGUAAUACGAAGGGGGCUAGCGUUGUUCGGACUUAAUGGGCGUAAAGCGCACGUAGCCGGAUUGGUCAGUUAGGGGUGAAAUGCAAGGGCUCAACCCUGGAAAUGCCUUUAAAAGUGCCGGUCUAGCGUUCGAGAGAGGUGAGUGGAAUUCCGAGUGUAGAGGUGAAAUUCGUAGAUAUUCGGAGGAACACCAGUGGCGAAGGCGGCUCACUGGCUCGAUACUGACGCUGGGGUGCGAAAGCGUGGGGAGAAAACAG
rnacentral:rRNA from 1 species